UACGUAGGGAGCUAGCGUUGUCCGGAAUCAUUGGGCGUAAAGCGCGCGUAGGCGGCCCGGUAAGUCCGCUGUGAAAGUCAAAGGCUCAACCUUUGAAUGUCAGCGGAUACUGCCGGGCUAGAGUCCGGAAGAGGCGAGUGGAAUUCCUGGUGUAGCGGUGGAAUGCGCAGAUAUCAGGAGGAACACCAAUAGCGAAGGCAGCUCGCUGGGACGGUACUGACACUGAGGCGCGAAAGCGUGGGGAGCGAACAGG
rnacentral:rRNA from 1 species